rnacentral:rRNA from 1 species
GACGAACGCUGGCGGCGUGCCUAACACAUGCAAGUCGAACGGAACUGUUUUGAAAGAUUUCUUCGGAAUGAAUUUGAUUUAGUUUAGUGGCGGACGGGUGAGUAACGCGUGAGUAACCUGCCUUCAAGAGGGGGAUAACAUUCUGAAAAGAAUGCUAAUACCGCAUGAUAUAUCGGAACCACAUGGUUUUGAUAUCAAAGAUUUUAUCGCUUGAAGAUGGACUCGCGUCCGAUUAGUUAGUUGGUGAGGUAACGGCUCACCAAGACCGCGAUCGGUAGCCGGACUGAGAGGUUGAACGGCCACAUUGGGACUGAGACACGGCCCAGACUCCUACGGGAGGCAGCAGUGGGGGAUAUUGCGCAAUGGGGGCAACCCUGACGCAGCAACGCCGCGUGAAGGAUGAAGGUUUUCGGAUUGUAAACUUCUUUUAUUAAGGACGAAACUUGACGGU